UGCUAUACAUGCAGUCGAGCGGACAGAAGGGAGCUUGCUCCCGGAUGUUAGCGGCGGACGGGUGAGUAACACGUGGGUAACCUGCCUGUAAGACUGGGAUAACUCCGGGAAACCGGAGCUAAUACCGGAUAGUUCCUUGAACCGCAUGGUUCAAGGAUGAAAGACGGUUUCGGCUGUCACUUACAGAUGGACCCGCGGCGCAUUAGCUAGUUGGUGGGGUAAUGGCUCACCAAGGCGACGAUGCGUAGCCGACCUGAGAGGGUGAUCGGCCACACUGGGACUGAGACACGGCCCAGACUCCUACGGGAGGCAGCAGUAGGGAAUCUUCCGCAAUGGACGAAAGUCUGACGGAGCAACGCCGCGUGAGUGAUGAAGGUUUUCGGAUCGUAAAGCUCUGUUGUUAGGGAAGAACAAGUGCGAGAGUAACUGCUCGCACCUUGACGGUACCUAACCAGAAAGCCACGGCUAACUACGUGCCAGCAGCCGCGGUAAUACGUAGGUGGCAAGCGUUGUCCGGAAUUAUUGGGCGUAAAGGGCUCGCAGGCGGUUUCUUAAGUCUGAUGUGAAAGCCCCCGGCUCAACCGGGGAGGGUCAUUGGAAACUGGGAAACUUGAGUGCAGAAGAGGAGAGUGGAAUUCCACGUGUAGCGGUGAAAUGCGU
rnacentral:rRNA from 1 species